GAGAAGCCAUAGAAAACUCAAAAGAUCGCUACUCUUCUUGUGAGGAAACCAGCAAAGGGAGAAUGUUAUACUAUGUUACCCAAAGAGAGGAUCAAAACUGCACUAAAACACAACACAAAGAAAGCAAAUUUUAAUCAGUUCAACCACAAGAUAAUAGAUGAAAGACUAAAUAAAGUUUAAACUGUAAGCAUGAAAAAAAAACCACGCACCUGGGGUACAAGAGAGAAAAAGGAGAGGAGGAAGACGAGAAACAACAAUAGAAUGCCAAAAAAAGAGAAAAAGAAGAGGUGCGACAAGAGAAAAAGGAGAAGAGGAAGACGACCGAUAUCAGAAACUGAAUGCCGCGAAGAGUUGCGCUAUAUUUAAAAUGGAAUUGGGUGUCGGUUGUUUUCCAAAAACCGAUGUCUAUAGACGUCAGUUUUCGUACUAAUGUGACGUCCAAGUGAACAUUUAAAACUGACUUUUUGAAUACCCAUUAGACGUCGGUUUCUGUUAGGGGGAACCGACGUCUAGG
rnacentral:lncRNA from 1 species